GGUACGAGUGGACAGUUCUUCAGGCUUGGGUGACUACCUAGAACUGCAUAUACAGUUCUAAACAACUGGACUAAUUUAAUGCCCAUGAAAGAGGAAUUGC
rnacentral:sRNA from 1 species